CCUACGGGUGGCUGCAGUGGGGAAUAUUGGACAAUGGGCGAAAGCCUGAUCCAGCCAUGCCGCGUGUGUGAAGAAGGCCUUCGGGUUGUAAAGCACUUUCAGUGGGGAAGAAAGCCUUGGGGUUAAUACCCUCGAGGAAGGACAUCACCCACAGAAGAAGCACCGGCUAACUCCGUGCCAGCAGCCGCGGUAAUACGGAGGGUGCGAGCGUUAAUCGGAAUUACUGGGCGUAAAGCGCGCGUAGGCGGUCUGAUAAGCCGGUUGUGAAAGCCCCGGGCUCAACCUGGGAACGGCAUCCGGAACUGUCAGGCUAGAGUGCAGGAGAGGAAGGUAGAAUUCCCGGUGUAGCGGUGAAAUGCGUAGAGAUCGGGAGGAAUACCAGUGGCGAAGGCGGCCUUCUGGACUGACACUGACGCUGAGGUGCGAAAGCGUGGGUAGCAAACAGGAUUAGAUACCCUGGUAGUC
rnacentral:rRNA from 1 species